GCUUCCGUAGCUCAGUUGGUUAGAGCUUCGUACUAAUACUAGAUUCCCUCUAGACUUGGUAAUGCGAAGGUCGCAGGUUCAAGCCCUGCCGGGAGCA
rfam:Trichoderma harzianum strain T6776 Scaffolds0133.1, whole genome shotgun sequence.